rnacentral:lncRNA from 1 species
UAUUGGUGGAUCACCAGACCAGAUCUUAGAGGUCUUUUCCAACUGUAAUAGUUCUAUGAUUCUGUGAGCAGUGCUGGCCCAAACAUCCCCUUCUAAUGAGGAGGUAGUGAGUUUCUGAGAAAGGAAAUCUUCCUUGGCUGUGGAAGCACCAGUAUGGCCCAGCCCUGGCACAUCACUCCUGAGUGCUUUUCAUGCUUCUUUUAGGGGCUGUCCAUUGACUGAAGUGGCUGCUGAGAAUAAGCUCUCCUUCAGCCCUUAAAAACAGUUCCUCUCAGAUUGAGCUGCGACAUCAGGAUUGAAUUAAAGAUCUUCAGUCUCCACGCUCAGGGCUUGCAGAGUUUGUCACCACAUGAGAAGAAGGGUCACAGAUGCAUGGUAACAAACACAGGCUCCCUCCUCACCUGCUGACCAGAAGGACUCGGCAAUAGCUUCAAACCGUAAGUAAUGAUAUGUUCCUGCAGUUGGCAAUGAAAUAAUCAGGAUGAAGCCCAAAGGUAUGGUUAAAACCAUGCAGCUCACACUGUAGUGAAAGGGAAGAAAACAAUUGGGUGUUUACUUACUGAGUUGUUAAUGAAGUGAUUUUGACUGUGACUAAUCAAAGCUCUUGAGGUGGGUGGUGUUUUGCCUGAAGAAGAGAGGGAGACUUCUUGUCUCUGCGCUUCGAAGGAGAGUAAGGAAGGAACUGCAGGAAGAUAAAACAUCUUCU